UAAUUAUUUGAUCAUAAGAAAGGAGAGUCUGACUUUGUGGAAAAACACACAGUCAGUUUCAUUAGAAAAGAGAGAGUCAGACGUUUUUAAAACAACAACAACAAUAUGCCCUGAGUAGUAGAGAAACAGAAGAGCGAUUGAUCUACAAAGGCAAGACUCAGACGGAGACCACAGUGAACCUGCAAAAUAGAGGAGCCCCUGGGUGGGAGAGGAUAUAACUGGAACUCUGGGAAUGUAACGUGCAUGGUGUGCUCAUCUGACAGACAUGGCAGCUUAGGGGAAUGAGUCUCUGCAGCAUUGUAGUGAAGAGAGGAUACAGGACGACUGUAGAACCACAGCUCAGCCAAGAGUCGCAAACAGUCUGUCAUGGAGUUUAGAUGGUGAGUCUCCCUACUAGAAGAUGGGUCACACUUGGAAGAGUGCUUUAUAUUCUCCACGCCACUGCCAAAUGAUCCUAGAGGUUAACAGAAAACAGCAAUGGGGCUUCCAAAGACAAGGACUGAAUUCCAUACUUGCCCGAAGAAAACAAAAAAGUCCCACAAAGAUGUAGGAUCUCACUUUGCCUGCAUUAAUUCCCUGUCCUUUGCCCAGUUUCUCCUCUCUUGGAAGGCAGAGGCAGCUUCUGAUUUUGAUCACUUCGUGUCCAGAAUUCCAGAACUCUCUGACCGUAUAAUAAGUCCUGCUGACCUCCAGCCUCCUGGACAGAGUCUUUUGACCAUCCAUAAAAAACUUGUGAAAGACUUGCUGGUAAUGAAUGCUAUCUUAAAUGCUUUACAAACAUUAUUGAAUUUAAUCUUCACAAUUAACCUUUUGAGGACUAUUUGGUGAAUGAAGUGAGUUUUGAACUCAGGCUGACUUAGAUUGUACAAGCCCACAUUUCUACUCCUGCCUCAACCUCCCAAGUAUCUUUGACUACAGGUGUGCGUGUCACCAUGGCCCAGCUAAUUUUUGUAUUGCCCAGGAUGGUCUUGAACUCCUGGGCUCAAGCAUCCUCC
rnacentral:lncRNA from 1 species